UAGUUUUGUACUAAAUCAAACUUCUCUAACUUGGACCAAGUUUAUAGAAAAACAUUAGCAUCUGCAAUAUGAAAUAAAUGCACUAUCAAGACAUAUUUCAUGGUGGAUUUAAUGAAACUAAUUUGAUGUUGUAGAUAUUGGUGCAUUUUUCUACAAACUUGGUCAAAGUUAGAUAAGUUUAACUUAGGACAGCUAAAA
rnacentral:pre_miRNA from 1 species